CUACAUUGGCUGGUUUUUGGUUGUUUUUUAACCAGAAAAUUACAUUAUAAUCAAGUUUAGUUCCAUUGUCUUCAUCAAUUGUCUCAAUUUUUGCCUUGUUUUUAUAUCUUUUAUUGAAAUAAGGAUAGUAAUGAACGGCAUGGCAAAUGUAGCAACAUGUUUACGGGAAAAACAACAGCAGCAUCUAAAGGGAAUACCAAGUUAACCAAGUAAAAGGUAAAUCAAGAGGAUUGCAGCCGCUAAAGAUGAAAGGCCUGAUAUGAAAUAAUACCCAUAGUUAAAGCUAAUGAAUCAAUACCAGUUGAACCAGCAUAAUUAAUUUGAACGCCUAAAUGGUUAAUGGUAAACCUUGAUGUAUAUGUAUACCUACCUACCUAACCGUACCGAUCAACAUAAAUAUGGAUCAAUAUAAAUGGCAGAUCAAUCUUGGAGUAUAUACUAAAACAACAACAUGAUCAUCAACAACCUUGAUCAAGUUACUCACUCUCGUCUCUGUGUUUGUCUAUUGUUUGAACCAUUUGAUAAGGAACCAGGAGAAUCAAGAGGUCGAGAGGUAAACCUAGGAGAGUGAGAGGGUCAGGUCACCUUUAUUGCUCGUGUGGAUGCUCAACACCGUCAAGCAAGCUUAUAUCCAAAGGCAGGUGAUUUUGUAUUUCUACAAACACUUCCCCUCACUUUCAUUACAAGGUUUUCAUCAUCACCAUCUACAUCUACAUCAUCAUCAUCAAAAGGAGAUCAAUUCGAGGGGAGAGAAAAGGCUGUUUCUCUGGUUGAGCCUGUUUAACGGAUGCUUAUGAAAAUUGCGAGGGAGAGUAAGUCCCUUCUUGUACCGGGUGUUAUUAUUUCCUCUGAAGGCACGCUUAUACGCUAUUCGCACGCAGGUUGUCUUACUCUCUCACCAUCUCUGUGUCUUUUCUCGUUCUCUCUCUCUCACACACACAGACAUCUUUUAUUACCAGCACCAUCAACAAUAACAACAUUAACAAUUGACAAUUGUAGAUUGUGGCGCGUGCAAUUGUACUUCACAAUUUAAUACAUUAUCACUAAAACCAAUGUAUUUUCAUUCGUUUGACUAUUAAUUCAUCCAAUUUUAACAUUUCUCUUAUUUUCAAUUGUCAGUAUUUUUCGACCUUCUUCGAUUUCUUUACCAUACAAGUAUUAGAACUGGCUAUUGUUACCCAUUUUUAUCAAGAGCACUUUAUUACCCUUUUUUCAGUAAAAUCAUUAUACCAUGCUAAUAAUUAUGUAUUUAGUUCAGUAUCGGCAAUUUUUCAGCAAUUGAUUUUUUUUGCUUAACAAGAUUGUAAUCAAAUAUGGUUAAUAUUUGUGAUUCAAUUCAGGUUUAUAUUCGGCGCUUCAAUUUCCCUUUCAAGCUAUUGGCAGUUAAUUAUUUUUACGUUUCCGCUUUUAGCUUUCUUUAAUGAAGCUUCAAAUUCAACACGAUUUUUUAAGGCUUUUUUUGUUUUCCUUGUUCUUUCCUAUUCUUUUAACCUCUCGUUUCAUCCCUAUUCACAUGCUUACCUGGCUUGUAAGAUGUCUACGUGAAUUUAUCUUACCUUCAGAGGCUUUUUACCCAAAGGCUGAUAUUUUGCUGUCAAUGAUGAGCUCAAUAUAGCAGUUGUUGCUUUUUGCUGUUACAUCUUUUUGCUUCCUCUUCUUAUGCUGUUUUUUUUGCUGCCUUCUUCAUCUUGCUUGUUGUUCGUUUUCUUCUUGAACUUAACAUCUUCUCACCUGUCCGAGUGAUGGUUGCCUGUCUUUAAGAAGCAACUUGGCUUGAACUAGCCUUCAUCAUUAUCAUCACCAUCACCAACCAUCAUCAUCAUCAACAUCAUUUUCGUCUUUCGGUAACCAUGUUUCAACCUGCCAAGACGAUUGAUGUAAACUGAAACAAACGUUCAAUGAUAAUUUGACUAUGUGUUUAUCCUCUGUCCUUUCCGAAGGUUCAUCUCUUUUUUGUCAAUUGUGAUGACGGAGGGUCAAUUAAGGGGUUCGCCAAUGGUUAUUAGUGCUAGCAUGGAGAUACAUUUUGAGCUAUUUUUUUACCACACACAGAUUCACAGUAAUUUCAAACAGUAGAUGAAAAUUGUUUCCAUCAAAACGCGAAAUGUUAUGAUGAAAUGAUUCAAAUGAUGUCUAUCCAAAUAGAUGCUCAUUUGUCUGUCAACAUUAUUUCAAAUCAAUCAAAGUAAAAUCAAUUUGAAACUAUCAUAUUCAAUUAAACAGAGCUACAAUUACAAUCAUCAACUGCACCAAAAACAUUAGCAGACAACAGGAAAGUGAGGAGAACCAUCUUAACGUUAAAUAUCUUUCAGAAUCACCAACAUAAGCUAUAAAUAUCCAGACAAAUCAAAUCUUUGAACAAUCACCAUUCGGAUUCAUUUUUCAAUUCAAUGACAUUUCCAACGUGAGAAUCGCUGUUAAUCAAAACCAUUGGCUGACCAAUACUAAAACCAAUCUUGGAAGGAUAACAAAUGGAAUCAAUCUUCCCAUUGUAGUCUUGGUCAUUUCAGCAUUUUCAUCAUUACUGUAAAAAGGAAACUGGACAAUCAUUAGUCAACUUUUUGUCUAAAACCAAUGUCCAGUAUGGAGAGAGAAGUCUUUUACUGUUUUAAGGUUUCUCCUUGGCCACCUUUUUACUUUCAUUUGUGUCCUGUCAUUUAACCAUUAAUAAUCACUAAUUUUAACACCCUACUGACACCCAUAAAGUGACCGGAAACUCAAGACAAAGUAAAUCAUUAAUUGCAAACAAAACAAAAACAAUAACAGCAACAACAACUUCAACAACAAUGGCCAAUGAUAACUGGAAGCAAAUAAAACAAGAGGAAACACAAGCGGUAAAAAGUACCAUUAAAUCGCAAAUGAGAGCAAGAUGAUUGGAGAGGCAAUUUACCUUUUCUUGUGUGAAUAUAAUCAACUUUAAUCAAUCCAACGAUAAUCAGAUUAUUGUUUCAAUACUGGUUAAUCGCCAUGGAAUGGCAAGUAAUACAGCUCCAUAUGUACAUAUCAACCGGCCUACAAACAAUGAAUGUUAUGUGUUAACAUGGACAAGGAAGACAACGAUAACAUGUAUUGGUUGAUUGUGAUGACUGUUCAAGGAAAUGAUAAAACAUAAUCUCAAGGAAGUAAUUUGAUUGUAAAAAGCUAUUGAAGGAACCAAAAUAAAAAGGUUAACCUGAGAAGCAGAUUGUUGAUUACCAAAAUAUAUUGGAUGAGAAUCACUUGUAACCCAUGAAGAUGAUCACCAGCGUUUUGUCCUCCUUUCAAUGUUAUGCCAAUGAUAUGGAAACCUUUACAUAUUCAACUGAUUAUUGCAUUAAUAUGUUGUUUCAUUAGCAUAUUAUAAAUACAUAUUAUUACAUAUUAUUACAAUGUACCAUCAUCAUCGUCAUCAUUAUCAGUGCAGGUCACCCUUUCCAACAUAAGGACUUUGGGUUAUCUUCGUUUUUGGGAAACAGUUAGGUCAAUUGUAUUGUACACUUAUGGGAAUUUGUGCAGGACAAAUAUUACUGUCAAAGGUUAUUGUGAAGACACCGAGAAAAGACGAUCUUAUUGUUCCCAUCUAUGAUCGAUUGGUAUCAUCAUCACUGUAAUCAUUUUUAAUCAUUGAUCAAUCACACCAUCGAUUAAGGUUAAUGCAGCAUUAGACCAGAGUUGCGUUCAUUGACAAUUAUAACAUUUCGAUAUUUUGACUUCAAUUUCCGAUAUGCAUUGUAAACAAAGGAUUGGGAGAUACAUUUAAAAUUACCUUUUUUUUAUAUUGAAUCAUAAAAAGGAUAAGGUUAGUGGGAGGUAGAAGAAUAGAUUUGAUGUACAACAAGAGUAGGGACAGAAGUUUUUAUAAACUGGGUCAUCUUCAGUCAAGAAAAGAGCAAAGGUGUUUUCAUUGUUUCGUUUUUUUUGACCAGACCAGUAACUUUGUGCUAUUAUACUCGUGGUACGUGCAAUUGACGCGUGCCACGAAGGGAGAGAGCGAGCGACUGGUGGACCAAGAGUGACCAGUUAUAAGGAGGAAAAGGGAGGUAAAGGGAUAAGUUAACAGAGUGUGUGAGAGAGAAUGAGAGGAACUGUACUUUCUCUGGUUCUACAUCCAUUUUACUCUUUCGACCGUCACAAGACCGAAAGAGUUUUAAAGCCUGUAUUAACUGUUUACUCCUGUUAAGGCUCAACUGUUUAUCCUAGCUUGACCUUUAACAAUCCGUUGACCUCGUACGUGGCCAUUCAGAGACUAGUAACAAGGUACAAGAGAAAGGGAAAGAGAGAAAAAAAGUCUUUCUUUUUUCCUAUCCACUUAUUCUUUGUCAUCUUUUCCUUCAAUGAAGUGUCCAUAGAGCUUUGUCCAUUGCCUGUGGGUCACUUACAAGUUGCUUGUACCUUCAUGACACCGUGAAAACAAAAGAUAAGUCUUUCAAUAUAACGAUACUGACUCAUUUAACAAUUUAAAAAUUGACCACAACAGACAAAAAAAACUAGAAACAGUUGUCUAACAAGUCAGACAAAUUGUAAAACAUAAGAUACUUUUUUUGUUUAGCCAAAAGCCGAUCUCAAUUAACAAAAGACCCCUUUUGUAAAAAAGGAAAGCAAAAAUUGUAUUGUUUUGUUUAACAAAUGAUUUUUUUCUAGUUUGCUUUAAGCUAAAUAUGUGCCACUUGUAAUAAAGUGCUGGUCGUUUCUCAACCUGUUUAAAAUACUUGGUAAAAAGUGUCCUGAGUUUUACUGGCAACAUUUUCAACAAUUAACAUCGACUCAAUGUUGAGCAUUGCUACUUAAAUCUACUGAUGCCAUUAUUGAGUGAAAGGAGAAUCUCGCUAUGCAUAAAGUUUGCUUUUUUUCUGGUCAAACAGUCAACUAUUUACAGAUGAAUUAAUUCCAACCAUUCUCUAUGCUGCUGCUGCUGCCGCUGCCGAUGAUGAUAUUGAUAAUGAUGCUACUUGAUAAAGAUGAGGAAAAGAUGAGAAAAUGACCGUGAUGAAGAGACAAUAUUCUCACGGUUUAAUAUGUUUGCAUUGUAUUUAAUAUGAAUCACUCUGAUUACUCCCCGAAAGUCUAUGGCCAAAAUAAGUUCACAUAAAGAUCGUUAUGGACCAUCGAUUAGGCUUCAAUUAGCAUAAAAUAAUUUUCAAUCAUUGGUAUCUUCUAUGAUAAUAACAACAACAACAAAAAAACAAGACAAUUGAACUAAAAACAUUGAGCUUAAAUUUGAUUCAACUAAGCGUUGAGCCAAGAGUGAUCAUCAAAAAUUGAAUACAUCAAGACGGAAACAAGGUAACAUGGAUAAUAGUAUAAAAUUAAGCAGAUAAAUGAUUGUAACUACAACUUCCGAUAGAUGUCUGGUGUUGGUAGCUAAAAAUGUAGAUCAACAAACACAAAAAAACAACAACUGAUGUAAUGGUGAUUGGUAAUUACAUGUAAAAACCAUUAAUGUUAACAAUCAAUGAUUACAUCAAGUUGGAUCGAUAAUAUUGUCUUUAAACGUUAUCAUUGUCAUUUCCGUUAAAGCCUUAUUUUGCGCUUGUCAAGCCUUUUCCCGUUCAUUUUUACCUCUCGAUGGACAUCAUUCAAAAUUAUCAUCCUUCUCAUUACCAUCCUAAACAUCAUCAUGGACAACAACAUCAACAGCAAACGUGUCUGAUUGACCGUGCUACCCUACCUUUGACCUGCAAAAGGAGCCAGUAAAGCAAAAAACAAGCCUAGUUAAUUCAAUGGUAAAGCUUAACAUUGGUAACUUUUCUGGGGAUCAACAACCACAUGGUCAUUGGCAUCAUAUUGAUUGUAGUUGAUUAGUUAACCAAGAACAAGAGUAACUGCGAUUAAUAUUGUGGUGUGUCUGUUGUGGUUAGUGGGAUGAAUCGGAGGUACAUAACCAAUGGACCUUUCAAUUAGUAGGAAUUCAACUUUUUUUUUCAAGUAAAAGACGAUGAUAAUGUAUUACUGUUAAAAAAAGAUAGAGAAAUAUAGAAAAACUUGAACCUUUUUUUUUGUGGCUCUUUCUGUGGAUAAGAAGAGGGAAAAACAGCAAAAAUUUUAAGAUGGUGAUGAUGAUAGGGAUAGAGGAUAAAGAAGAUGACGGCAAAGAGCAUUUGGAUAACGGCAAGAUGUAAAAUUCACAGAGCGCAUCAACAUCAUCAAGAACAACAGGUUUCAAGGGUGAUGUUAAAAUGUCUGGUUAACCUUUUGCCACGCGAAUUGAGAGUUUAUUUUCAAACUAUUAUAUUAUCAUCAUUCAAAGGUUAAUUUAACGUUGGUUUCCACACAUCAAUUUACAAUGUGAUUAAUGUUAACAUAUUAAUGAACCCAGCGAGUUACAUUCAAUUAAUAAUAAAGGUUACAUCAACCUAGAUAUCAGCCGAAAAUGCGAAGAGCUGAUUAUUUUAAGACAUAAAAACCAAGCAGCCGAAAAGCUGAAAGCAUAGAAAGCAUAUUCAAAAUGUGAUUUGUAUAAAUUGGCGAGUCAAGUUUUUUCAUUAAAUUAUAUAUUUUUUUUGCUUAAUUUGUGAUUCUAAUUUAUUUAUUGUUCCCUUAAUCAAUAAGAUUUGACCAAAUUUAAAUUGUUUACCUUAUCCAAGGAUAAAGACUGCAACAGAUGACUGUAUUAACUUUAAUGUUCAUAGUUUCCUUUUAUCAACUGUUUGCUUUAGUCUUAAGGAUUGUUAAUCCUACAUAUUGCAGCCAAGUCAACAAUUAAAUAACACCUUUACCUCCAUCUUUAUCAUCAUCUGGAUUAACAAUUGUAUGGAAGCUAAUAUAAAUGGCAAUGCAUAGUGAAAUAAUCUCAAUUGUCCAGUUAAUUAAUGUCUAUUUGAUUUCGCCUUACUAUACUGUUGGUUUUCAGCAAGAGCAACUGUAACCCAGUUGUGAAUGUUACUGUUCACACGAUCACCAUAAAUGUGAUGAUCAUUGAAGCACAACAUAUUCACACACAUAAACUUGAUACAAGAAUAAAGUGAAACAGUAACAUUUUACUAAUAAUGAACUUAUUUUAUAAUAUAAUCAAACAAAACAAAAAAAACAAGAAACAAAAAAACCAUUGGCUCACUUCAUUUGUCUAUACAUGUAUGGAUAUGUUAUGGUGUAGGAGCAGAUAAUGAAGUACACAUGGGAAAAUGGUCAACUUGAAAAGUCUUAACCUGCAUCUAAGCGAACAGGGAACGAGCCAAGGAGACCGAAAGAGUAAUCAACUAACCAAGUGCCUUGAUUGUUCCAGGUGGAAAUAUUUACCUCAAGCAAUAAUAAACUUUGGGGACACUUUGCAUUCACAUAUACACAAUGUUGUCGUAGUGACUGUUACCAAGGAUAAUCAUCGCUAUCACCAUCAACAUCAUAAUCAUCAUCAAAAGACGACUGCAGCAGCAAAAGAAACAGCAAGCAUGGAGAAACUCAGAAAGUAAAAAUAUUAUCUUUUAAUGAUAAAAAAUUGAAGCAGAAGGAAGCAACAGUUGACUGUUAACUGUUAGCGAUCAACAAAAAUGAUAAACACACUAACUUUGCAGUUGGCAUCUUGGAUGAUAAUAAUAAUGGUGAUGAUAAAAAAGUAAUCAGAACGUGUCACCAGAUGAAACCUGUUGAUUGCAUAUGUUGAUGAUCAAGUUCACCAUCAAUUUUCAUUUUCACAUGUCUUUUCAGGCUCACGCUCUCUCUCUCCUAUCUCACUGGCUCACCAUCAUAAUCUUAUUUCAAUUGUUAAUUAUUAGUUGCAAUCAUUGAUUAUCCAUGUAUUAUACAUAGCAGGUUUAUUCCCUUAUUGCUGCAAUUGUCCAUCCACGAUGAUGUUGAUGGUGGUAAUGAUGAUGUUGAUCAUUUUGCAUUGAUAUCGAUGUCUUCAAGGCUGGAAUAAGUCGUUCAACAAGUCAAAAAACAAG